GAUCACCGUCGGAGCCUCUUCAGCCUGAAACUCUUUGUUCAGCUACAGACAAGAGAAAACUGCCCGUUCAACAUCCAGCACAAAGCAUGAAGACACAUUUAAGCACAGAUCAAGAUUGUAUCACACACCUCCGUGCUGACAAAGAAAUGUGUGGUUGCUAAUGGGGCCUGGUUCGGCGAAAGUGUUGAACUUGUUCAGCCAUUCUCUGGAGAUGUAAAACUGCAGCAGGCUGGGCUCCUUCAUAUUGGCCA